rnacentral:sRNA from 1 species
UACAGGCGUGAGCCACCGCGCCGGCCUCAAUGCACUCUUUAAAGAGAAGGGCAGUUAGUGACAGGGUCUCCUGUUGUUGCCUAGGCUGGGGUGCCCUGGCACGAUCAUGGCUGACUGCAGCCCUGUGCGCUCAAGUGAGCCUCUCACCUCAGCCUCCCAGAGUGCUGGGACUGCCAACAUGAGCCACUGGACUCGGCAGUGUAAACUACUUUUUUUAUGCUAUUGCAUAUGGAUUGUUCAUUGAUAAUAUAUAGAAACAUAACUGGGUUUUGUGUAUGGAUUUUGUGCCCUGCAACUUUGCUGAAAUAAUUAAUUAGGAUUUUUUGUAUGUGGAUCUUUAGGGUUUUCUAUGUAGAAGGUCAUGUUAUUUGUGAAUAGAGAGAAUUUGUCUUUGUUUUCUUUUUCUUGCCCAGUUACUCUGGCUAGGGCCUCCAGUGCUGUGCUGAGAGAAUCCGUAUCUUGUUCCUGACCUUGGAGGAAGAGCUUUCAGUCCUUCACAGUUGAGCGUGGUGUUUGCUGUGGGUUUCAUGUAGAGGUUUUAUCGCCAUGAAGAAGUUCCUUUCUGUUCUUGAGAGAUUUCCUUAACUAUUCUUACCUGGAUCCAGAAAGGAACCACAAGUGCGUCUCUCUCUUUUAAGUCUCUGAUAGACGCACACUGGAAGCUGCUGCAUUUGCUGGUCCUUCAGGGACUUGCCAGACCAACUAAAAUGCACGACCCCAGAGUUUUGGAGGACAAGGUCUCCUGCCCACCAUGGUCCCAGCCAGCAGCUCCAGGAACACAGGCUGGGCUCCCUGCAGUGGAGGCGGGGCUGAGGAAUGCUGGGGUGGCAGCUACUCACCGUGUGCUUCCCAGGGAGCAUCACCUGUUCCUCUGAAGCCCUGCCUGGGUGGCUUGAGCUUGGAAUCAAGCUGACCGAUUUUGAGAGAGUGGAUUCUGAGCUUUUUCCUAGCAUAAGGUCGUUUUGAUAAAGGAGUGGUCCUUUGGACAUCCCUGUUCUGCCGUCCUGAUACCUCUAGUUUUGGGUUUUAUGUGUAGCACAGGGUGAAGCUUUAGUUCUCAGAACCCACCCCUGCUGUACCCUGUGCCCUCGCCCUCCGCUGUGUUUGCCCCGACCCUCCUGUACCCUGCGUCCUCGCCCUCUGCUGUGCUCACCCGACCCUGCUAUAUUCACACCUGACCCUGCUGUGUCCUACACUGUCGCCCUCUGCUGUGCUCGCCCCUGACCCUGCUGUACCCUGCGCCCUUAUCCUCUGCUGUUUGCCCCGACCCUCCUGUACCCUGCGUCCUCGCCCUCUGCUGUGCUCACCCGACCCUGCUGUAUUCACACCUGACCCUGCUGUGUCCUGCGCUGUCGCCCUCUGCUGUGCUCGCCCCUGACCCUGCUGUACCCUGCGCCCUCAUCCUCUGCUGUGUUUGCCCCGACCCUCCUGUACGCUGCGUCCUCGCCCUCUGCUGUGCUCACCCGACCCUGCUGUAUUCACACCUGACCCUGCUGUGUCCUGCGCUGUUGCCCUCUGCUGUGCUCGCCCCUGACCCUGCUGUACUCUGCGCCCUCGCCCUCUGCUGUGUUCACCUGACCCUGCUGUGUCCUGCGCCCUCGCCGUGACCCUGCUGUACCCCGCUGUACCCUGCGCCCUCGCCCUCUGCUGUGUUCGCCCUGACCCUGCUGUGUCCUGCGCCCUUGCCCUCUGCUGUGCUUGCCCCUGAGGCCUCCUGUCCAGAGUUGCUCUGGCUUUGGUGGCUUCAGGUAGAUUCUGAGGGUCAGUCAGCACAGAAGCAACUCAGGGAAGCUUCAGAAAAAACCAUUUCUCAGGUUGGAGAGACAAGAAACAUUUGCAAAUGGAGAUCAGAAACCAUUGAAUCUGGGAACCUCUUUUUUUCAGAGUCUCUGGUAAGAAGAGUGAAAGCAAAGAAGCCAAGAAGUCUGAAGAACCAAGAAUUCGGAAGAAGCCGGGACCCAAGCCCGGAUGGAAGAAGAAGCUUCGUUGUGAGAGGUGAUGCCUGCAACGCGAGGCUCGCCCUGCCUGUCGGGGCCGGGGCUCCAUGCAUGCUCUUCAUUGCAGGGAGGAGCUUCCCACCAUCUACAAGUGUCCUUACCAGGGCUGCACGGCCGUGUACCGAGGCGCUGACGGCAUGAAGAAGCACAUCAAGGAGCACCACGAGGAGGUCCGCGAGCGGCCCUGCCCCCACCCUGGCUGCAACAAGGUUUUCAUGAUCGACCGCUACCUGCAGCGCCACGUGAAGCUCAUCCACACAGAGGUGCGGAACUAUAUCUGUGACGAAUGUGGACAAACCUUCAAGCAGCGGAAGCACCUUCUCGUCCACCAAAUGCGACAUUCGGGAGCCAAGCCUUUGCAGUAAGUGUGAGUCAGGCCCCCCCCAGGGCUGUAGCCCGCGCACCUUCUUACCUGCCUCUGUCUCCCAGGUGUGAGGUCUGUGGGUUCCAGUGCAGGCAGCGGGCGUCCCUCAAGUACCACAUGACCAAACACAAGGCUGAGACUGAGCUGGACUUUGCCUGUGACCAGUGUGGCCGGCGGUUCGAGAAGGCCCACAACCUCAAUGUACACAUGUCCAUGGUGCACCCGCUGACACAGACCCAGGACAAGGCCCUGCCCCUGGAGGCGGAACCACCACCUGGGCCACCCAGCCCCUCUGUGACCACAGAGGGCCAGGCGGUGAAGCCCGAACCCACCUGAGGACGGCAGUGAGGAUGAGCACCUCUAGCAGCCUGGACUCCGCAGUGGCUGUGUCAGCCUCACCCUUCGUGUGCACCCGCAUGGGAGGGUCGGAGGGUGCUGCCCGCCCUUGGUGCUGGAGGCGGGCUUGGUGUCCAGCUCAAGUAGCCUUCCUCUGCUCUGGGACCAGUGGUUUAUUUUCCCGCAAACGCUGAGUGACUUGGGGCCGGACAGUUCAUAAAUAAUUGAUUCCUUUCCCCACUAAAGCAGUCGAGGAGAUUUGUAAUCCACUUUUUAGUGCAAUAAGAGCUCCAUGUUAUGCUUGUAAUAAAUUAUUUACACGGG